UAUAUAUAUAUAUAUAUAUCUGACUGUUGUAUAGAUAAAUUUCAAUUCAAUUCAAUGGAGUUGUUUCGAUCUAGAUCUUUUUUGAGAGAUUUAGUGAACUCUAUUGGAAUCUUAUAGAGUUGAAUUCUUAAUGGAAAUGAGUGUUAUGACAUCUAAUUCAUGUUGAAAGGUGAGAAUCAUCAUCAUUCAGCUUAUUUUGAGUUGUUUUCUAUGAUCGUUUGAUUAGGUAAAUGGCCUAUUUGCUUGUUUCUGUUCAAAACUAUCAAUUGAGGUGAAAUUUGAGUGUUUUUAAUAGUUGAUGGAAAGAUGGAGUUUUCUUUUUCUUCUUGAAAGAACUUGUUUACUAGAAGUGGUUUAUGUUGUAGAAUUUGCAAAUAAUUACUGCCAAAUUGCUUAGAAGGGUUAUUUGUAGAACACUGUGAGUCUGUGAUCUUGUAUGUGGAUAUUGUUGUGGUUCGAUUUUGAUAUUGGAUACUUAUUUGAAUCACUUCUGUGUUUUUAGUACUUUAGUCAGCUUUCAAGUAUACACUGGUUGAUUUGCUCUUUAAUAACCAGGAAGGUUGAUUGCCUCUUAACAUUUCUGCAGGUUUCUGGGGAUGUGAUGGUUCUUGGUUAGGGUUUCAUGGCUGGAGAAGUUGAAGAAUUCAUUAGCUCAGAGGUGAGGUUUCAUGAGAACAAUCUUUUUUGCAAUUGUUUUAGGGAAAUUUAGACUUAACCCCCCAGAUAAUGGACCUCUUUUGAUUAAACCCCCACAUAUAUGAAAAGUUUGACUUUAUACCCCACCGUUUGUUUCCGUCCAGUUUUCCAUCCAAAUUAUAUUUUUACUCCCCUAAAUAUCCCUCAUUUUUUAAUAUAUGGGAUUUUAGCUUAUAAAAGAAUAAAGGGCAUUUGGGGAAGUAAAAAUAUAAUUUGGAUGGAAAGCUGGACGGAAGUAAACGAUGGGGUGCAAAGUCAAACUUUUCAUAUAUAUGGGGGUUUAAUCAAAAGAGGUCCAUUGUCUAGGGGGUUAAGUCUAAAUUUCCCAUUGUUUUAAUGCUUCUUGCUUGCGGAUUAAUGGUCGGACAAAUCAAAGAAGCCAUUAGCUUGAUGUCAGGUUUGAUUUUCCUAUUGCAAGGCCUGAGUCAAAAUGGGUUGUCUACAGUGUAAAAUGCCGAAUUAAAAUUGAAAAAUAUAUGAUCAAAGACUAUAAUGUUUUUCUUUUUCUCUGAUGUUAAAAUUCCUUUUUGACCAGUUGGUAUGAACUCAAAGAAUGGGUACUAAAAUUGUGGAUGAUUCUCUUAUGCAAUUGACACUCUCACCAUGAAGGCAUUGAAAGCAACAUAAAUGACAUGCAUUAACUUUCCCGUUAGCAUGUCAUCAUCAAACUAUUAUACUUGAGGCCAUUUGUGAUUUCACUACUUGGUAGAAAAUAUAAAUGCUCACGAAUGAUUUACCAAAAGUAAUGCCCUUUCUUUUAGUUAAUUUGGCUACCUAUAACUACAUCUCUUAUGUGAAUCACAG
rnacentral:lncRNA from 1 species